UUCGGAAUAGCUUAAAUAAAAGCAUUGAUUUUGUAAUUCAAAGACUGGGAAUUUCCCUUCCGAAU
rnacentral:tRNA from 1 species